rnacentral:rRNA from 1 species
UACGUAGGGGGCGAGCGUUGUCCGGAUUUAUUGGGCGUAAAGAGCGUGUAGGCGGCCAGGUAGGUCUGCUGUGAAAACUCGAGGCUCAACCUCGAGACGUCGGCGGAAACCAUCUGGCUAGAGUCCGGAAGAGGAGAGUGGAAUUCCUGGUGUAGCGGUGAAAUGCGCAGAUAUCAGGAAGAACACCCGUGGCGAAGGCGGCUCUCUGGGACGGUACUGACGCUGAGGAGCGAAAGCCAGGGGAGCAAACGGG